rnacentral:rRNA from 1 species
CCUACGGGAGGCAGCAGUAGGGAAUAUUGGGCAAUGGGCGAGAGCCUGACCCAGCCAUGCCGCGUGCAGGAUGAAGGCCUUCUGGGUUGUAAACUGCUUUUCUCAGGGAAGAAAAAGAGGAUGCGUCCUAAACUGACGGUACCUGAGGAAUAAGCACCGGCUAACUCCGUGCCAGCAGCCGCGGUAAUACGGAGGGUGCAAGCGUUGUCCGGAUUUAUUGGGUUUAAAGGGUGCGUAGGCGGCCCGUUAAGUCCGGGGUGAAAGCCCACAGCUCAACUGUGGAACUGCCCUGGAUACUGGCGGGCUUGAGUCCAGACGAGGUUGGCGGAAUGGAAGGUGUAGCGGUGAAAUGCAUAGAUACCUUCCAGAACCCCGAUUGCGUAGGCAGCUGACUAGGCUGGUACUGACGCUGAGGCACGAAAGCGUGGGGAGCGAACAGGAUUAGAUACCCUGGUAGUCCACGCCGUAAACGAUGGAUACUCGCUGGUGGCGAUAGACAGUCACUGGCUUAGCGAAAGCGGUAAGUAUCCACCUGGGGAGUACGCUCGCAAGAGUGAAACUUCAAAGGAAUUGACGGNNGNGAGNGCGAGCGACACGAGGAGAGG